rnacentral:tRNA from 1 species
GGCACUUUGGCCGAGUGGUCUAAGGCGCCGUGUUCAGGUUAGGUCGGCUCUGCCGGCCCGACUCAUUCGCGGUCUAGUAAUAGGCGAGGGUUCGAAUCCCUCAGGUGUCA